GGGAAUUCCAACAAGCUUUGGUAGCGAUCUAUCUCCUAUAAGAUCAUCCAUUUCAUCAUAAUUACCAAGCAUGCUCUGAAUGCGACUAGAUAAUUUGUCUUCUUUGCUGGUAACUUUGUAUGGUUCAGCAAAGAGAGGAGAGUUGGGCGGAAAGGCUUCUUCACCCUGCUGGAUUUCUUGAUUUCGCCUUUCCCUUUCUUUCAUACGCAGCACAUUUCGGUCUUCACGGUUCAUG
rnacentral:lncRNA from 1 species